AAGCCUGCUCACCUGUCGAGCUUUUGUGCAACAUUUUGUUUGGAGAAAGCUUAAUGCUGCUACAAAGUUGGAAAAUCUCUCAUCUUGUCCAUACACUAAUUUUCAUGGGAUGACUCUGAGGACAGGAUUGUAAAAGCAUUUUCCCAGGUCUUAAUGAAAGAAGCAGGAUUUUCCCCUAACAUGUGGUGUAAGUAACCCACUAAUGCCAUUUCCCACACAGAUAGGCUGGUGUGUAAAUGAAUUGGCAUGAGUUGUUUACUGAGAAGCCCAACCAUUUCAAUAAGAAACAUAGAGUUUGUAGAGAAAACUGGAAUUAAGAGUUACACAAUAGGGCCAUGAAAGAAAAAUAUUAUGCCAGUGUGUGAUAAAAUAAUCUUCUUGCUUAAAUUAUACUGCUUUGUUUAGGUCUAUGUUUAAAUAUAACAGCAUUUACCAUAAUCCCUUACAGAUAAAUAGAUGUCCAAUAAACUUUUUCUAACUAUUUUCAGAAAUAUUUAGAAGGAAGCUGCACAGGAAUUAGCAGAAAAGAAGGAGCAAAAUAUUUUUCAGUAAGAAUUAGCAAAAGAAUUAAUUAACCCCCAUUUAGCACACUAUCUCAUUUUGAAGUCACCGUGCAAAUGUAAGGACGUGCCUACCAUUUUCAGAGAAAAACUCCAAUAUGUGCCCUCGUCUGGGUUGCCCAAGAAUGAAGAAAGAGGCUCAGCCAGGAAGGUUGGUUGGCAGAAGUUCACGUAGCUAAGUCAGUGGAACAGCCGGGAUGAGAACCCGUGUCUGUUCAGUGU
rnacentral:lncRNA from 1 species